rnacentral:lncRNA from 1 species
AGCAGGACUCUCCUCUAGCCCCCAAUCGCAAUCCCUUACAUAACCCCUCAACCAUGCCCCAUCAGCCCAGUCCACGUAAUCUCAGUUCAUUGGCCUUCGUCAAAUGCCCUGAUCUUAGGUCAUGGUGCGCCUGCGCAGCUCUCACGAUGGACAUGGCUUAUUUCCGGGUGUAUGAGGAAGUCAGGCUGCAGUCCCGGGCACCAUCUUGGGACAACCGCCACACCCGCUCCCCACAGGAUGUUAUGUAAAAUGCUAGCCUCUGGUCCCUCUGGUCUUGCUAACAGCACUUAAAGCUUACAGACAGACACCUGCUCACCUCAGAAGUACAUGUGAUAGAUUUGAUAGGAGUAAACAACAGUGCUCCAGGUCUGAGCCUUGUCUGAAAACCUGGAAAUAAUCGUGACAUUUGAGGAAGCUUAAAGAUCGCCAUUGAUCUUUGUUAAGGAAGAAAGCUUUAAGCAUCCAUCCUUCCUGCUGAGCCGCAAGGAUCUGGUGGCAGUUAAGUGAUUGCUACAGUUGGCCCCCCUGGCCACCCUUCCCCUGCAAAGCGCCAGCUGAGGUUGAAGGAGAUUCAUCAUUUGCUACUUCCUCAGCCUACAUCAAGCCCUAUUCAGGCCCUUUUCUGCCUAAUGAGGCCCGCAGAGCCACCAGCUGCUGCUGCUUAUCCUUGAAUCAACCAAAGUAGCAGCAGGUAGCACCCAUCUGCCACAAAUUUGGGGUUGCUAAGAAAUGUAGGUACCAGUAGUCACCAUUAGUUGACUGACUGACUAGUAUAUGCUAAGCAAAACGCUAAGGGUUUGGGUAUGCACAUUUAAACAUUCUGGUUGCUUGUGGUGUGUGUGUGUGUGUGUGUGUGUGUGUGUGUGUGUGUGUGUGUUUAAGACUGAGAAGUGGGCAUGAAAGUUAGAGGACAGCUAUUAGGAGUUGGUUCUGAAAAACAAGGCUGCCUCCAUUUUAGGCUUUAAAAAAAAUCCUAUAGCGGGGCUGGAGAGAUGGCUCAGUGGUUAAGAGCACCGACUGCUC